rnacentral:rRNA from 1 species
UACGGAGGGUGCGAGCGUUGCUUGGAAUUAUUGGGCGUAAAGCGUACGCAGGCGGCUCGGCAAGUCGAGUGUGAAAUCCCGGGGCUCAACUCCGGAACUGCAUUCGAUACUGCCGGGCUUGAGUGCGGGAGAGGGAAGCGGAAUUCCUGGUGUAGAGGUGAAAUUCGUAGAUAUCAGGAGGAACACCGGUGGCGAAAGCGGCUUCCUGGCCCGACACUGACGCUAAUGUACGAAAGCGUGGGGAGCAAACAGG